rnacentral:snRNA from 1 species
ACGUGCAAAUCGUUCGUC